UACAGAGGGUGCGAGCGUUAAUCGGAAUUACUGGGCGUAAAGCGCACGUAGUCGGCUUUGCAAGUCGGUUGUGAAAUCCCCGGGCUCAACCUGGGAACUGCAUCCGAGACUGCAUUGCUAGAGUAUGGGAGAGGGAAGCGGAAUUUCUGGUGUAGCAGUGAAAUGCGUAGAUAUCAGGAGGAACACCAAUUGCGAAGGCAGCUCGCUGGGACGUUACUGACGCUGAGACGCGAAAGCGUGGGGAGCAAACAGG
rnacentral:rRNA from 1 species